CAGUCGCCGCGGGAAUACGGAGGGAGCUAGCGUUAUUCGGAAUUACUGGGCGUAAGGCGCACGUAGGCGGCUUUGUAAGUUAGAGGUGAAAGCCUGGAGCUCAACUCCAGAAUUGCCUUUAAGACUGCAUCGCUUGAAUCCAGGAGAGGUGAGUGGAAUUCCGAGUGUAGAGGUGAAAUUCGUAGAUAUUCGGAAGAACACCAGUGGCGAAGGCGGCUCACUGGACUGGUAUUGACGCAGAGGUGCGAAAGCGUGGGGAGCAAACAGGAUUAGAUACCCCGGUAGUCCCUGUCUCUUAUAC
rnacentral:rRNA from 1 species